rnacentral:rRNA from 1 species
UACGGGGGGGGCAAGCGUUGUUCGGAAUUACUGGGCGUAAAGGGUGCGUAGGCGGCUUUUUAAGUCAGAGGUGAAAUCCUGGAGCUCAACUCCAGAACUGCCUUUGAUACUGAAGAUCUUGAGUUCGGGAGAGGUGAGUGGAACUGCGAGUGUAGAGGUGAAAUUCGUAGAUAUUCGCAAGAACACCAGUGGCGAAGGCGGCUCACUGGCCCGAUACUGACGCUGAGGCACGAAAGCGUGGGGAGCAAACAGGG